CCGUGCCAGAGGAGUGCCACCAGCACAUACAGGAACUGUGGUACCUGCUGCAGGAACCAACACCUCCGCUGAUGCCAUGGUUUGGAGCUCUGUGACCAUAGACUCUGGUCUACUCAGCUGGAGAGAGACUCAACUGGAUAAUACCUUUGUCUUCUCUGAUGAUUUCACUGAAAGGGCAGAAAUACUGCAGCCACAACAUUUAGUGGAUAUCUGACAAAACCCCGGCCACUUCUGUUCUCCAGCGUCAGCAGAGCAGUAGAAGUUGUGAGCCCUUUAUUCAUUUUGGCACUUUUUUAUUACACUGGAUUCCUUCUUUCCCCCCAGGCGAUUUCUAGUAAACUAGAUCCCACAAAUGUGUUACAGUGUAAAGGAGAAAGAUGAAUUCUGAAUUGGAUUGGUUUGUAGGUUGCUUUCAUUGUAGGAUCUAACGAGCCCCUCUCCAUCCUUUAUUAGCAACUCUGUGCUCUUGUUUAGUUUUCCAGGAUAACACUGAGCAUGUUUGUGUUUCUGAGUGACGUAUGUAGCUCUGUGGUUGUCCUUAUUUCUCUUCAGAUAGAUCAAAAGACUGACAAUAAGAGUACAUUUAUAGGGAAGCAUAGGAGUUGCAAAAGUUAUUUCUGCAAGCCCAGAUGUGAAAAUGUGGUGUAUAAUUUCUUCUGUUAACUUCUAUUUUUCUAGUAGUUAAGUUCCUAAUGGUCUUACAAGAUUUUAAACUGGUCUACCUUACCUUGUUAUCAUCUAGUUUUGUUUAAUGGAAAGUUAAAAAAUAUAGAUCUUUGUAAAGGUGUGGUAUAUAAGAUGUAAAAGGCAUGCAGGAGCAAUCAAUAAUUACGUGGUUUAUAUUUUAAUAGAAAAUAAUAUUCUCUCUCAGAUGACUGUGGUUUCAAGAAAUAAAGGUAAGCUGUACUUCUGAUUAUUUUUCCCGGCAGCUGGUGUUGUAGGUUUCAAUACCUUUAGAUCCU